rnacentral:rRNA from 1 species
UACGGAGGGUGCGAGCGUUAAUCGGAAUUACUGGGCGUAAAGCGCACGCAGGCGGUUUGUUAGCUAGAUGUGAAAGCCCCGGGCUCAACCUGGGAUGGUCAUUUAGAACUGGCAGACUAGAGUCUUGGAGAGGGGAGUGGAAUUCCAGGUGUAGCGGUGAAAUGCGUAGAUAUCUGGAGGAACAUCAGUGGCGAAGGCGACUCCCUGGCCAAAGACUGACGCUCAUGUGCGAAAGUGUGGGUAGCGAACAGG